rnacentral:rRNA from 1 species
GAUGAACGCUGGCGGCGUGCCUAAUACAUGCAAGUCGAGCGAACGGACGAGAAGCUUGCUUCUCUGAUGUUAGCGGCGGACGGGUGAGUAACACGUGGAUAACCUACCUAUAAGACUGGGAUAACUUCGGGAAACCGUAGCUAAUACCGGAUAAUAUUUUGAACCGCAUGGUUCAAAAGUGAAAGACGGUCUUGCUGUCACUUAUAGAUGGAUCCGCGCUGCAUUAGCUAGUUGGUAAGGUAACGGCUUACCAAGGCAACGAUGCAUAGCCGACCUGAGAGGGUGAUCGGCCACACUGGAACGGAGACACGGACCAGACUCCUACGGGAGGCAGCAGUAGGGAAUCUUCCGCAAUGGGCGAAAGCCUGACGGAGCAACGCCGCGUGAGUGAUGAAGGUCUUCGGAUCGUAAAACUCUGUUAUUAGGGAAGAACGUAUGUGUAAGUAACUGUGCACAUCUUGACGGUACCUAAUCAGAAAGCCACGGCUAACUACGUG